ensembl:lincRNA
GUCUCAGGAAGCUUAGUUACAGAAAGAUGAGGUAACUGGAGGGAUGGCAGGGGAAUGGAAAACAAUACAGAGAUACAGCAAAUAAAAGCUUCCAGAACACAGAAAAAUCUCAAGAAAGCAACUCUCCCCAUCUUUGAUCAUUUAUCAAUUAUUCAGUCAGAGUCUAAAAUGUUCAAGGCUCCACACUUAAGAGAAUUCAAAGGCUCCAAAAGGAAGAACCUGGACCUCUUCAGGGCAAAGAUGUUAGCUACCACCUUAAAUAAGCCUGUAUCUUCAGCCCCAGAAUGAGCCAUCAGACAGGACCAUGUGCAUGGCAGGAUGCAGUCUUGUCAUCUCAGAUGUUUUCACAGAAAGGAACUGCAAACACCUCACCAAUUUAAGUGACUCAGUCUUAAUUCUUCAUGACCUCUAGUGGCAGAAGAAGGACUCUGCUAUUUGAUUUUUCCAGGUAAUCCUCCUUCACCCUUGCCUCCUCAUUUCUCCGGAAUCUCUUUCGUGUCCCCACGGUUUCCCACUCCCGUCGCGUCUGUUCUCCUUCAGACCAUCUCGCAACCCACUGG